rnacentral:lncRNA from 1 species
GAAAACAAGAGAAAAGAGAGCAUAAUACAAACAAAAUGAUAAUAAAGUCCUAAUAAACAUGUGAAAUCCGAGUCAAAAACACGGUGUAAUUCGGUGCGAUCAGGAGAUAUCGCGUAGCCCAUUUUCUUCUCUGGAGAUGUUAUUUCUUUCUCUAGCACGCUCCAUUUUGGUUUUUUGCCCCCUUUCUGGUUGACAGAUUCUAUCCACUCUUCCUAAGGAACAUCGUUCGGUGGAAUGAAGGUCUUUGGUCGGGAACGCUGAAACUACCUUUU